CCUACGGGAGGCUGCAGUGAGGAAUAUUGGUCAAUGGGCGAGAUCCUGAACCAGCCAAGCCGCGUGAGGGAAGACGGCCCUAUGGGUUGUAAACCUCUUUUGUCGGGGAACAAAAGACGGGACGUGUGCCGGUCUGAGUGUAUCCGAAGAAAAAGCAUCGGCUAACUCCGUGCCAGCAGCCGCGGUAAUACGGAGGAUGCGAGCGUUAUCCGGAUUUAUUGGGUUUAAAGGGUGCGUAGGCGGUCCGUUAAGUCAGCGGUAAAAUUGCGGGGCUCAACCCCGUCGAGCCGUUGAAACUGGCUGACUUGAGUGGGCGAGAAGUACGCGGAAUGCGCGGUGUAGCGGUGAAAUGCAUAGAUAUCGCGCAGAACUCCGAUUGCGAAGGCAGCGUACCGGCGCCAGACUGACGCUGAGGCACGAAAGCGUGGGGAUCGAACAGGAUUAGAUACCCGAGUAGUC
rnacentral:rRNA from 1 species